rnacentral:rRNA from 1 species
UACGGGGGGAGCAAGCGUUGUUCGGAUUUACUGGGCGUAAAGGGCGCGUAGGCGGCGCAACAAGUCACUUGUGAAAUCUCCGGGCUUAACUCGGAGCGGCCAAGUGAUACUGUCGUGCUAGAGUGCGGAAGGGGCAACUGGAAUUCUUGGUGUAGCGGUGAAAUGCGUAGAUAUCAAGAGGAACACCUGAGGUGAAGACGGGUUGCUGGGCUGACACUGACGCUGAGGCGCGAAAGCCAGGGGAGCAAACGGG